UGCCUUCUGGAAUGUUAUGCUCAAUUACUAAGUUCCAAUCUUUAUCCCAUAUACAUACUGAACCAUCCGAGCUUGCAGUAAUUAAAUAAUCAUCAACAGGGUAGACAGAUUUGACGCUAACUUGAUUAGAAAAUUUUGAAUUUUUAAUUUGUUGAGUAUAGAAUAUAAAAAGACACUUACCGUUUCUUAUGCGCCGUAAAUUCAUGUAAAAUCUUCCCAUCAGAAGUAUCCAAAACCAGUACUGUUCCAUUAUCUCGUCCAACUAUCAAUUUGGAUUGAUAGAGACACAAAGCGUUCAAUUGAGAUUUAGAAGAGAAGCUGAAAAGGGAAGUGAGAUCCUAAAAAUGUAUUAGUAAUUUAUAAAAGAAGGAGGAAAAUUGCAUAUAGAAAAAUGCAUAAAUUCUUACCAAUUUAAAGGCAUCAAUGCCUCUUCGUGACAUAAUAACAAAUGACGACUCAUUCAGGAAAAGAAUAGAUUCUGGGAUAGUGCUUAAAGGUAAAACUUUACCUCCUUUACCUCGUACAAGGUCCCAGAGCCGCAACUUUCCAUCACCUCCAACUGUUAGGGCCAAUUUUUCUGAAGGGUGAACUGCUAUACCAGUGAUGCCCUUAUGAGAAGAUGACUUAAGAGUAUGAACCAACAACCAUGAACCUUUAGACCACAUACUGAUUUGCCCGUUAUCAUGACAUGCUAAAAGGUGAUUUUUAGUAAAACACAUAUCUCGGAUACAUGCAUUGGCGAUAUCUGUAGGAACAGAAACAUCGGCUAUUUGGACGUUACGAGUGUGAUCGAAAAUUCUGAAACGAUGUUAGAUUAUGCUUAAAAGGAUAAUUAAAUACAAGGAAGGAAGAAUGAAACCAUUUAAGUCCAGUUUCAUAAUUCCAGUUGCAAAUAACUUACUUAAUUGUUUCAUCACUGCUAGUAGAAGCCAAGUAAAUACCGUCGACAGCUAACGCGGUUAAAGCUCCUUCAUGAGCUUCAAAAAGCCACAAGGGCUUGCAUUUUUUCCUCUCAAUGUCUGCAUCAACACCGUAAAUGAGGUGAGUAUAUGUUCCAACUACAAAACGGAGCAUCGGUGACUAAAGUAUGACAAUUGAAGCCUAAAUCCAGUUAUACAAAACCCAAAGUAAGUUAUAAUAAGCACCCGAUCCUUUUGCUUUUUCUAUUAUAAUUUAAUUGAGUCCUAAACCACAAAUUCUCAAAUACCAAGUAAGAAGGAGAGAGUAGCAAAGAAUUUGCAGGUGUAAUGAAAUUUUA